rnacentral:rRNA from 1 species
UACAGAGGUCUCAAGCGUUGUUCGGAUUCAUUGGGCGUAAAGGGUGCGUAGGUGGCGGGGUAAGUCAGGUGUGAAAUCUCGGGGCUCAACUCCGAAACUGCACUUGAUACUGCCUUGCUCGAGUACUGGAGAGGAGAUUGGAAUUUACGGUGUAGCAGUGAAAUGCGUAGAUAUCGUAAGGAAGACCAGUGGCGAAGGCGGGUCUCUGGACAGUUCCUGACGCUGAGGCACGAAGGCCAGGGGAGCAAACGGG